rnacentral:rRNA from 1 species
GUACACACCGCCCGUCACGCCAUGGAAGCGGCGAGUGCCCGAAGUCCGUGCCGGAACCCUCACGGGACCAAGCGGCCGAAGGCAAGCGUCGUGACUGGGGCAAAGUCGUAACAAGGUAUUCGUAGGUGAACCUGCAGAAGGAUCA